AGUCGAACGGGACAUUGUGAGUAGCAAUACAAGCAGUGUCUAGUGGCGAACGGGUGCGUAACACGUGGAUACAUUCCGGGAAGCGGGGGAUAGCCCAGGGAAACUUGGAUUAAUACCGCAUGUGGUCGAAAGACUAAAGGCAGGGACCGCAAGGCCUGCCACUUCCCGAUUGGUCCGCGGCCUAUCAGCUAGUUGGCGGGGUAAAAGCCCACCAAGGCUACGACGGGUAGCUGGUCUUAGAGGACGACCAGCCACACUGGAACUGAGACACGGUCCAGACACCUACGGGUGGCAGCAGUCGGGAAUCUUUCACAAUGGGGGCAACCCUGAUGGAGCGACGCCGCGUGGAGGAUAAGGUCUUCGGAUUGUAAACUCCUGUCAUGUGUGAACAAGGUUGCGGUGUUAAUAGCAUCGCAAAUUGAUGGUAACACAAGAGGAAGAGACGGCUAACUCUGUGCCAGCAGCCGCGGUAAUACAGAGGUCUCAAGCGUUGUUCGGAAUCACUGGGCGUAAAGGGUGCGUAGGUGGCGUGGAAAGUCAGAUGUGAAAGCCCGGGGCUCAACCUCGGAAUAGCAUCCGAUACUACCAUGCUAGAGUACUGAAGAGGUGACUAGAAUUCUCGGUGUAGCAGUGAAAUGCGUAGAUAUCGAGAGGAAUACCAACGGCGAAGGCAGGUCACUGG
rnacentral:rRNA from 1 species